GACGAACUCUGGCGGCGUGCCUAAUACAUGCAAGUCGAACGCUUCUUUCCUCCCGAGUGCUUGCACUCAAUUGGAAAGAGGAGUGGCGGACGGGUGAGUAACACGUGGGUAACCUACCCAUCAGAGGGGGAUGACACUUGGAAACAGGUGCUAAUACCGCAUAACAGUUUAUGCCGCAUGGCAUAAGAGUGAAAGGCGCUUUCGGGUGUCGCUGAUGGAUGGACCCGCGGUGCAUUAGCUAGUUGGUGAGGUAACGGCUCACCAAGGCCACGAUGCAUAGCCGACCUGAGAGGGUGAUCGGCCACACUGGGACUGAGACACGGCCCAGACUCCUACGGGAGGCAGCAGUAGGGAAUCUUCGGCAAUGGACGAAAGUCUGACCGAGCAACGCCGCGUGAGUGAAGAAGGUUUUCGGAUCGUAAAACUCUGUUGUUAGAGAAGAACAAGGACGUUAGUAACUGAACGUCCCCUGACGGUAUCUAACCAGAAAGCCACGGCUAACUACGUG
rnacentral:rRNA from 1 species